rnacentral:rRNA from 1 species
UUUAUGGAGAGUUUGAUCCUGGCUCAGGAUGAACGCUGGCGGCGUGCCUAAUACAUGCAAGUCGAGCGAACGGACGAGAAGCUUGCUUCUCUGAUGUUAGCGGCGGACGGGUGAGUAACACGUGGAUAACCUACCUAUAAGACUGGGAUAACUUCGGGAAACCGGAGCUAAUACCGGAUAAUAUUUUGAACCGCAUGGUUCAAAAGUGAAAGACGGUCUUGCUGUCACUUAUAGAUGGAUCCGCGCUGCAUUAGCUAGUUGGUAAGGUAACGGCUUACCAAGGCAACGAUGCAUAGCCGACCUGAGAGGGUGAUCGGCCACACUGGAACUGAGACACGGUCCAGACUCCUACGGGAGGCAGCAGUAGGGAAUCUUCCGCAAUGGGCGAAAGCCUGACGGAGCAACGCCGCGUGAGUGAUGAAGGUCUUCGGAUCGUAAAACUCUGUUAUUAGGGAAGAACAUAUGUGUAAGUAACUGUGCACAUCUUGACGGUACCUAAUCAGAAAGCCACGGCUAACUACGUGCCAGCAGCCGCGGUAAUACGUAGGUGGCAAGCGUUAUCCGGAAUUAUUGGGCGUAAAGCGCGCGUAGGCGGUUUUUUAAGUCUGAUGUGAAAGCCCACGGCUCAACCGUGGAGAGUCAUUGGAAACUGGAAAACUUGAGUGCAGAAGAGGAAAGUGGAAUUCCAUGUGUAGCGGUGAAAUGCGCAGAGAUAUGGAGGAACACCAGUGGCGAAGGCGACUUUCUGGUCUGUAACUGACGCUGAUGUGCGAAAGCGUGGGGAUCAAACAGGAUUAGAUACCCUGGUAGUCCACGCCGUAAACGAUGAGUGCUAAGUGUUAGGGGGUUUCCGCCCCUUAGUGCUGCAGCUAACGCAUUAAGCACUCCGCCUGGGGAGUACGACCGCAAGGUUGAAACUCAAAGGAAUUGACGGGGACCCGCACAAGCGGUGGAGCAUGUGGUUUAAUUCGAAGCAACGCGAAGAACCUUACCAAAUCUUGACAUCCUUUGACAACUCUAGAGAUAGAGCCUUCCCCUUCGGGGGACAAAGUGACAGGUGGUGCAUGGUUGUCGUCAGCUCGUGUCGUGAGAUGUUGGGUUAAGUCCCGCAACGAGCGCAACCCUUAAGCUUAGUUGCCAUCAUUAAGUUGGGCACUCUAAGUUGACUGCCGGUGACAAACCGGAGGAAGGUGGGGAUGACGUCAAAUCAUCAUGCCCCUUAUGAUUUGGGCUACACACGUGCUACAAUGGACAAUACAAAGGGCAGCGAAACCGCGAGGUCAAGCAAAUCCCAUAAAGUUGUUCUCAGUUCGGAUUGUAGUCUGCAACUCGACUACAUGAAGCUGGAAUCGCUAGUAAUCGUAGAUCAGCAUGCUACGGUGAAUACGUUCCCGGGUCUUGUACACACCGCCCGUCACACCACGAGAGUUUGUAACACCCGAAGCCGGUGGAGUAACCUUUUAGGAGCUAGCCGUCGAAGGUGGGACAAAUGAUUGGGGUGAAGUCGUAACAAGGUAGCCGUAUCGGAAGGUGCGGCUGGAUCACCUCCUUUCU